rnacentral:rRNA from 1 species
AUUGAACGCUGGCGGCAGGCCUAACACAUGCAAGUCGAGCGGAUGAGAGGAGUUUGCUCCUCGAUUCAGCGGCGGACGGGUGAGUAAUGCCUAGGAAUCUGCCCAGUAGCGGGGGACAACGUUUCGAAAGGAACGCUAAUACCGCAUACGUCCUACGGGAGAAAGUGGGGGAUCUUCGGACCUCACGCUAUUGGAUGAGCCUAGGUCGGAUUAGCUAGUUGGUAGGGUAAAGGCCUACCAAGGCGACGAUCCGUAACUGGUCUGAGAGGAUGAUCAGUCACACUGGAACUGAGACACGGUCCAGACUCCUACGGGAGGCAGCAGUGGGGAAUAUUGGACAAUGGGCGCAAGCCUGAUCCAGCCAUGCCGCGUGUGUGAAGAAGGCCCUCGGGUCGUAAAGCACUUUAAGUUGGGAGGAAGGGCUUACAGCGAAUACCUGUGAGUUUUGACGUUACCGACAGAAUAAGCACCGGCUAACUUCGUGCCAGCCGCCGCAGUAA